CGCGUAGGCGGAUUGAUAAGUUUGAAGUGAAAUCCUAUAGCUUAACUAUAGAACUGCUUUGAAAACUGUUAAUCUAGAAUGUGGGAGAGGUAGAUGGAAUUUCUGGUGUAGGGUAAAAUCCGUAGAGAUCAGAAGGAAUACCGAUUGCGAAGGCGAUCUACUGGAACAAUAUUGACGCUGAGACGCGAAAGCGUGGGGAGCAAACA
rnacentral:rRNA from 1 species